UACGGAGGGUGCAAGCGUUAUCCGGAUUCACUGGGUUUAAAGGGUGCGUAGGUGGGUUGGUAAGUCAGUGGUGAAAUCUCCGGGCUUAACUCGGAAACUGCCGUUGAUACUAUCAAUCUUGAAUGUUGUGGAGGUAAGCGGAAUAUGUCAUGUAGCGGUGAAAUGCUUAGAUAUGACAUAGAACACCGAUAGCGAAGGCAGCUUGCUACACAAUAAUUGACACUGAGGCACGAAAGCGUGGGGAUCAAACAGGAGUUAGAAACCC
rnacentral:rRNA from 1 species